rnacentral:siRNA from 1 species
CGCUUGGUUGAAAAGCCAGUG